AAAUUGAAGAGUUUGAUCAUGGCUCAGAUUGAACGCUGGCGGCAGGCCUAACACAUGCAAGUCGAACGGUAACAGGAAGCAGCUUGCUGCUUUGCUGACGAGUGGCGGACGGGUGAGUAAUGUCUGGGAAACUGCCUGAUGGAGGGGGAUAACUACUGGAAACGGUAGCUAAUACCGCAUAAUGUCGCAAGACCAAAGAGGGGGACCUUCGGGCCUCUUGCCAUCGGAUGUGCCCAGAUGGGAUUAGCUAGUAGGUGGGGUAAAGGCUCACCUAGGCGACGAU
rnacentral:rRNA from 1 species